CCAGACUCCUACGGGAGGCAGCAGCAGGGAAUAUUGCGCAAUGGACGGAAGUCUGACGCAGCGACGCCGCGUGGAUGACGAAGGCCUUCGGGUUGUAAAAUCCUUUUCCGGGCGAUGAGGAAGGACACUAGCCUGGGAAUAAGCGUCGGCUAACUACGUGCCAGCAGCCGCGGUAAGACGUAGGACGCGAGCGUUAUCCGGAUUUACUGGGCGUAAAGCGCCUGCAGGCGGUCAGGUAAGUCGGUUGUGAAAGCCCCGUGCUCAACGCGGGGAGGCCAAGCGAUACUGCGUGACUUGAGGGCGGAAGAGGGGAGUGGAAUUCCCGGUGUAGCGGUAAAAUGCGCAGAUAUCGGGAGGAACACCAGUGGCGAAGGCGGCUCCCUGGACCGCACCUGACGCUCAGAGGCGAAAGCUAGGGGAGCGAACAGGAUUAGAGACCCUGGUAGUCCUAGCCCUAAACGCUGGAUGCUAGGUGUAGGGCUGAUGAGGCUCUGUGCCGGAGCGAACGCGAUAAGCAUCCCGCCUGGGAACUACGGCCGCAAGGCUAAAACUCAAACGAAUUGACGGGGACCCGCACAAGCAGCGGAGCGUGUGGUUUAAUUCGAUGCUACACGAAGAACCUUACCUGGGUUUGACAUGCUGGUGGUACCGAACCGAAAGGGGAGGGACCCUUCGGGGAGCCAACACAGGUGCUGCAUGGCUGUCGUCAGCUCGUGCCGUGAGGUGUCGGGUUAAGUCCCGUAACGAGCGCAACCCUUGCUCUUAGUUAUACGUGUCUAAGGGGACUGCCGGCGACAAGCCGGAGGAAGGUGGGGAUGACGUCAAGUCAGCAUGGCCUUGAUAUCCAGGGCUACACACACGCUACAAUGGCCGGUACAAAGGGCAGCCAAGCCGCGAGGUGGAGCGAAUCCCAGCAAAGCCGGUCCCAGUUCGGAUUGCAGGCUGCAACCCGCCUGCAUGAAGUUGGAGUUGCUAGUAACCGCGCGUCAGCCAUAGUGCGGUGAAUACGUACCCGGGUCUUGUACACACCGCCCGUCACGUCAUGGGAGUUGGCAACGCCUG
rnacentral:rRNA from 1 species